GACGAACGCUGGCGGCGUGCUUAACACAUGCAAGUCGAACGGUAAGGCCCUUCGGGGUACACGAGUGGCGAACGGGUGAGUAACACGUGGGUGAUCUGCCCUGCUCUUCGGGAUAAGCCUGGGAAACUGGGUCUAAUACCGGAUAGGACUCCUGGCUUCAUGGUUGGGGGUGGAAAGCUUUUGCGGUGUGGGAUGGGCCCGCGGCCUAUCAGCUUGUUGGUGGGGUAAUGGCCUACCAAGGCGACGACGGGUAGCCGGCCUGAGAGGGUGACCGGUCACACUGGGACUGAGAUACGGCUCAGACUCCUACGGGAGGCAGCAGUGGGGAAUAUUGCACAAUGGGCGCAAGCCUGAUGCAGCGACGCCGCGUGAGGGAUGACGGCCUUCGGGUUGUAAACCUCUUUCAGCUAUGACGAAGCGCAAGUGACGGUAGUAGCAGAAGAAGGACCGGCCAACUACGUGCCAGCAGCCGCCGUAAGAC
rnacentral:rRNA from 1 species